GCGAGCGGCGGAUGGGUGAGUAACACGUGGGGAACCUGCCCCAUAGUCUAGGAUACCACUUGGAAACAGGUGCUAAUACCGGAUAAGAAAGCAGAUCGCAUGAUCAGCUUUUAAAAGGCGGCGUAAGCUGUCGCUAUGGGAUGGCCCCGCGGUGCAUUAGCUAGUUGGUAAGGUAAAGGCUUACCAAGGCGAUGAUGCAUAGCCGAGUUGAGAGACUGAUCGGCCACAUUGGGACUGAGACACGGCCCAAACUCCUACGGGAGGCAGCAGUAGGGAAUCUUCCACAAUGGACGCAAGUCUGAUGGAGCAACGCCGCGUGAGUGAAGAAGGUUUUCGGAUCGUAAAGCUCUGUUGUUGGUGAAGAAGGAUAGAGGUAGUAACUGGCCUUUAUUUGACGGUAAUCAACCAGAAAGUCACGGCUAACUACGUGCCAGCAGCCGCGGUAAUACGUAGGUGGCAAGCGUUGUCCGGAUUUAUUGGGCGUAAAGCGAGCGCAGGCGGAAGAAUAAGUCUGAUGUGAAAGCCCUCGGCUUAACCGAGGAACUGCAUCGGAAACUGUUUUUCUUGAGUGCAGAAGAGGAGAGUGGAACUCCAUGUGUAGCGGUGGAAUGCGUAGAUAUAUGGAAGAACACCAGUGGCCGAAGGCGGCUCUCUGGUCUGCAACUGACGCUGAGGCUCGAAAGCAUGGGUAGCGAAACAGGAUUAGAUACCCCUGGGUAGUCCAUGCCCGUAAACCAAUGAGUGCUAAAGUGUUGGGGAAGGUUUUCCGCCUCCUC
rnacentral:rRNA from 1 species